AUUUAAAUACAACUCUUGUUAUUGUUCAAC
rnacentral:other from 16 species